CUCCCUGAGUGUGUGCAUAAAAGAGCAAACACUGCUCUAAUGGCUGCUGGGUGCCAGGCACUGUUCUCCUUACGUGCUUCACAUGUCCCCACAACCCAUGAGGUAGGGACCAUUAUCACCCCUUUUGGCAGAAUAAUAAACUGAGACGCAGAGAUGACAUGACCGCUCAGGGUCACAGAGCUAGCAAGGAUGGCACUGCUUGUCUCUGCUGUGUUUCUGUGUGUAUCUGAGUGUUGCUCUUCCUUUCUGUCAUGUUUCAGCCUCGUGCUUCCUGAGUGGUCAGAUGUGAGUGUGUCUUUGAGAUUCACACCGAUGUAGCUCAAUGUGAGUCUGUCCUCACCACCGAGAGCCCAGGCCUGGCACAAAUAAGCAUUCAGUGAAUGUCUACUGGACAAAUCUGUGCAAAUAGAGCCUUUUGGGUCCAGAAUCAAGGUUGCGGCACACAGCAUUUUUGAGUUCACAUGCUCCCUACCCUCAGGAGGCUGGGGGCGGCCACUCUCUGCCCUCACUGACCAGAUGGGGAAACUGAGGCCCAGAGAGAGCAAAUGAAAUGCCCAAGUUCACAAAGACGAUAAAACUGAGGCUCCAAAAAGUUCAGCAAAUUCCCCAGGAUUGCAAAGUAAGAGGCAGAGCCAGGAUUUGGAUCUCCUUUCCCCUGACUUCAAGGCUGAGUCUAAAUGUCUAGGUAAGUCUAAAGGUAUAGCCAGGUUUGAGAACUUUUGAUAUAGAGCAGUGGUUCUCAACGGGGGAGUGGUUUUCCUCUCCAGGGGACAUUUGGCGAUGU